rnacentral:rRNA from 1 species
AGUGAACGCUGGCGGUAGGCCUAACACAUGCAAGUCGAACGGCAGCACAGUAAGAGCUUGCUCUUACGGGUGGCGAGUGGCGGACGGGUGAGGAAUACAUCGGAAUCUACUUUUUCGUGGGGGAUAACGUAGGGAAACUUACGCUAAUACCGCAUACGACCUACGGGUGAAAGCAGGGGAUCUUCGGACCUUGCGCGAUUGAAUGAGCCGAUGUCGGAUUAGCUAGUUGGCGGGGUAAAGGCCCACCAAGGCGACGAUCCGUAGCUGGUCUGAGAGGAUGAUAGCCGACACGGGAACGUGACCACGGACACGAGGACUAAGAGAGGGAGCAGUGUGGAACAGGAGGCAGCAGGGGGGAGCAUGAUCCAGCGAGAGCGAGUCGGUGAAGACGACGCCGGGGUUGUGAAGACGGUCUGUGGGUAGAGAAAAGCAGCAGGUAGAGAAGAAGCGGAACUGACGGUACCUGAAGAAGAAGCACCGGCUAACUACGUG